rnacentral:lncRNA from 1 species
UCACCCUGAGUUAGCUCUUGUUGUGGUUUUGAUGAUUAGUGUUUAGUAUGUUUCCAGUUAAGUUGAAUUAUGAUGUGCAAUUAUAAGGUUGUUAUAGACCCUUGGACAUCAUGUUCCGAGCUAAGAGUUUUGUUAUGCAUUUUAGUUAGAUGAAGAUGACCCUUAAAGUAUGCUACGUCUAGGUGAAAGAUAACUACAAAU